AUUGAACGCUGGCGGCAUGCCUUACACAUGCAAGUCGAACGGCAGCACGGGAGCAAUCCUGGUGGCGAGUGGCGAACGGGUGAGUAAUAUAUCGGAACGUGCCCAGUCGUGGGGAUAACGUAGCGAAAGCUACGCUAAUACCGCAUACGAUCUACGGAUGAAAGCGGGGGAUCGCAAGACCUCGCGCGAUUGGAGCGGCCGAUAUCAGAUUGGGUAGUUGGUGAGGUAAAGGCUCACCAAGCCGACGAUCUGUAGCUGGUCUGAGAGGACGACCAGCCACACUGGGACUGAGACACGGCCCAGACUCCUACGGGAGGCAGCAGUGGGGAAUUUUGGACAAUGGGCGCAAGCCUGAUCCAGCAAUGCCGCGUGCAGGAUGAAGGCCUUCGGUUGUAACUGCUUUGUUACGGAACGAACGGUAGAGCUCUAAUACAG
rnacentral:rRNA from 1 species